GACGUAGGGCGCAAGCGUUGUCCGGAUUUAUUGGGCGUAAAGAGCGUGUAGGCGGUCCGGUAAGUCAGCUGUGAAAGUCAAGGGCUCAACCCUUGAAAGCCGGUUGAUACUGUCGGGCUAGAGUCCGGAAGAGGCGAGUGGAAUUCCCGGUGUAGCGGUGAAAUGCGCGAUAUCGGGAGGAACACCAAUGGCGAAGGCAGCUCGCUGGGACGGUACUGACGCUG
rnacentral:rRNA from 1 species